ACUAUUUUGGCAGACAAGUGCGGUGGAUUUAGAAUCUAUGAAUGUUGAGUCUUAUCUCUAACAAAUAGUA
rnacentral:tRNA from 1 species